UUAAGCGACUAAGCGUACACGGUGGAUGCCCUGGCAGUCAGAGGCGAUGAAGGACGUGCUAAUCUGCGAUAAGCGUCGGUAAGGUGAUAUGAACCGUUAUAACCGGCGAUUUCCGAAUGGGGAAACCCAGUGUGUUUCGACACACUAUCAUUAACUGAAUCCAUAGGUUAAUGAGGCGAACCGGGGGAACUGAAACAUCUAAGUACCCCGAGGAAAAGAAAUCAACCGAGAUUCCCCCAGUAGCGGCGAGCGAACGGGGAGCAGCCCAGAGCCUGAAUCAGUGUGUGUGUUAGUGGAAGCGUCUGGAAAGGCGCGCGAUACAGGGUGACAGCCCCGUACACAAAAAUGCACAUGCUGUGAGCUCGAUGAGUAGGGCGGGACACGUGGUAUCCUGUCUGAAUAUGGGGGGACCAUCCUCCAAGGCUAAAUACUCCUGACUGACCGAUAGUGAACCAGUACCGUGAGGGAAAGGCGAAAAGAACCCCGGCGAGGGGAGUGAAAAAGAACCUGAAACCGUGUACGUACAAGCAGUGGGAGCACGCUUAGGCGUGUGACUGCGUACCUUUUGUAUAAUGGGUCAGCGACUUAUAUUCUGUAGCAAGGUUAACCGAAUAGGGGAGCCGAAGGGAAACCGAGUCUUAACUGGGCGUUAAGUUGCAGGGUAUAGACCCGAAACCCGGUGAUCUAGCCAUGGGCAGGUUGAAGGUUGGGUAACACUAACUGGAGGACCGAACCGACUAAUGUUGAAAAAUUAGCGGAUGACUUGUGGCUGGGGGUGAAAGGCCAAUCAAACCGGGAGAUAGCUGGUUCUCCCCGAAAGCUAUUUAGGUAGCGCCUCGUGAAUUCAUCUCCGGGGGUAGAGCACUGUUUCGGCAAGGGGGUCAUCCCGACUUACCAACCCGAUGCAAACUGCGAAUACCGGAGAAUGUUAUCACGGGAGACACACGGCGGGUGCUAACGUCCGUCGUGAAGAGGGAAACAACCCAGACCGCCAGCUAAGGUCCCAAAGUCAUGGUUAAGUGGGAAACGAUGUGGGAAGGCCCAGACAGCCAGGAUGUUGGCUUAGAAGCAGCCAUCAUUUAAAGAAAGCGUAAUAGCUCACUGGUCGAGUCGGCCUGCGCGGAAGAUGUAACGGGGCUAAACCAUGCACCGAAGCUGCGGCAGCGACACUAUGUGUUGUUGGGUAGGGGAGCGUUCUGUAAGCCUGUGAAGGUGUGCUGUGAGGCAUGCUGGAGGUAUCAGAAGUGCGAAUGCUGACAUAAGUAACGAUAAAGCGGGUGAAAAGCCCGCUCGCCGGAAGACCAAGGGUUCCUGUCCAACGUUAAUCGGGGCAGGGUGAGUCGACCCCUAAGGCGAGGCCGAAAGGCGUAGUCGAUGGGAAACAGGUUAAUAUUCCUGUACUUGGUGUUACUGCGAAGGGGGGACGGAGAAGGCUAUGUUGGCCGGGCGACGGUUGUCCCGGUUUAAGCGUGUAGGCUGGUUUUCCAGGCAAAUCCGGAAAAUCAAGGCUGAGGCGUGAUGACGAGGCACUACGGUGCUGAAGCAACAAAUGCCCUGCUUCCAGGAAAAGCCUCUAAGCAUCAGGUAACAUCAAAUCGUACCCCAAACCGACACAGGUGGUCAGGUAGAGAAUACCAAGGCGCUUGAGAGAACUCGGGUGAAGGAACUAGGCAAAAUGGUGCCGUAACUUCGGGAGAAGGCACGCUGAUAUGUAGGUGAGGUCCCUCGCGGAUGGAGCUGAAAUCAGUCGAAGAUACCAGCUGGCUGCAACUGUUUAUUAAAAACACAGCACUGUGCAAACACGAAAGUGGACGUAUACGGUGUGACGCCUGCCCGGUGCCGGAAGGUUAAUUGAUGGGGUUAGCGCAAGCGAAGCUCUUGAUCGAAGCCCCGGUAAACGGCGGCCGUAACUAUAACGGUCCUAAGGUAGCGAAAUUCCUUGUCGGGUAAGUUCCGACCUGCACGAAUGGCGUAAUGAUGGCCAGGCUGUCUCCACCCGAGACUCAGUGAAAUUGAACUCGCUGUGAAGAUGCAGUGUACCCGCGGCAAGACGGAAAGACCCCGUGAACCUUUACUAUAGCUUGACACUGAACAUUGAGCCUUGAUGUGUAGGAUAGGUGGGAGGCUUUGAAGUGUGGACGCCAGUCUGCAUGGAGCCGACCUUGAAAUACCACCCUUUAAUGUUUGAUGUUCUAACGUUGACCCGUAAUCCGGGUUGCGGACAGUGUCUGGUGGGUAGUUUGACUGGGGCGGUCUCCUCCUAAAGAGUAACGGAGGAGCACGAAGGUUGGCUAAUCCUGGUCGGACAUCAGGAGGUUAGUGCAAUGGCAUAAGCCAGCUUGACUGCGAGCGUGACGGCGCGAGCAGGUGCGAAAGCAGGUCAUAGUGAUCCGGUGGUUCUGAAUGGAAGGGCCAUCGCUCAACGGAUAAAAGGUACUCCGGGGAUAACAGGCUGAUACCGCCCAAGAGUUCAUAUCGACGGCGGUGUUUGGCACCUCGAUGUCGGCUCAUCACAUCCUGGGGCUGAAGUAGGUCCCAAGGGUAUGGCUGUUCGCCAUUUAAAGUGGUACGCGAGCUGGGUUUAGAACGUCGUGAGACAGUUCGGUCCCUAUCUGCCGUGGGCGCUGGAGAACUGAGGGGGGCUGCUCCUAGUACGAGAGGACCGGAGUGGACGCAUCACUGGUGUUCGGGUUGUCAUGCCAAUGGCACUGCCCGGUAGCUAAAUGCGGAAGAGAUAAGUGCUGAAAGCAUCUAAGCACGAAACUUGCCCCGAGAUGAGUUCUCCCUGACUCCUUGAGAGUCCUGAAGGAACGUUGAAGACGACGACGUUGAUAGGCCGGGUGUGUAAGCGCAGCGAUGCGUUGAGCUAACCGGUACUAAUGAACCGUGAGGCUUAACCU
rnacentral:rRNA from 1 species